AGUAUCGAUAAAACUUUCAAACUUUUGUCUUUCUGAAGAAGACACCGAAAUAGUAAAAUUUUUAAUGAUAAGAUUUAAAAAAGAAGUAGGAUUAAAGUGGAUAGGAGAUGUUAUCAUUACUAGAAAGACUUCUUUGAAGGUAUUAAGUACCGUCGCUUCAAUUACUUUUACUCUUUUGCAAGUUAAACAAAUUAGGGACAAACAUUUACGACAGUAAAUUAUUGUAUGUUUACAACAUUAAU